rnacentral:lncRNA from 1 species
GCGUCUGCCGCAAGGAGGCCCUCGAUGCACGUCUCUCCUCCCUUUCCUCGCUCCCCCUCUCCUUCCCCUCCGGGGCCUCUUUCGCCGGCCUUUUCUGCAGCUUUUGCCCCGUCGAGCCCGGCGUCCCCUCGCCGGCCGACCUGGCACCAUCUGGCUGGCAGAUGAGCGACUAGAUGGAAAGUCCUCCUGGGGCCGAGGAUGUCCGUGUGUCCCUGCGGGAUGCUGGUGGGCAGGAGCCCCUCGGGACGGGGAUGUGUGGGGUGUGGGGUCAAGAGUGUCCGUGUGUCCCUGCGGGAUGCUGGUGGGCAGGAGCCCCUCGGGACGGGGAUGUGUGGGGUGUGGGGGUCAAGAGUGUCCGUGUGUCCCUGCGGGAUGCUGGUGGGCAGGAGCCCCUCGGGACGGGGAUGUGUGGGGUAUGGGGUCAAGAGUCUCCGGGGCUGAGGAUGUCUGUGUGUCCCUGCAGGAUGCUGAGGAUCAGGAGUCUUCCAGGAUGGGAUGAUCUGGGAAGCUGGUGGUCAGGAGUCCCUGGGGCUGAGGAUGUCCAUGUGUCCCUGUGGGAUACUGGAGCGCAGGAUGCGAUUCGU